AUUCACAGUGUCCCUCGUGUGAGCCUCAAGC
rnacentral:piRNA from 1 species